rnacentral:rRNA from 1 species
AAUAAACGCUGGCGGCGUGCCUAAUACAUGCAAGUCGAACGGGGAAAGCUUUCGGGUGAGUACUAGUGGCGCACGGGUGAGUAACGCGUGGAUAAUCUGCCUUAGAGUGGGGGAUAACUAGUCGAAAGAUUAGCUAAUACCGCAUAAGACCACAAGAACUGCGGUCUAAGGGGUCAAAGGUUUUUCGCUCUAAGAUGCGUCCGCGUAAGAUUAGCUAGUUGGUAGGGUAACGGCCUACCAAGGCGACGAUCUUUAAAUGGUCUGAGAGGAUGAUCAGACACACUAGAACUGAGACACGGUCCAGACUCCUACGGGAAGCAGCAUUAGAGAAUAUGGCACAAUGGAGGAAACUCUGAUGCAGCGACGCCGCGUGAGUGAUGAAGGCCUUCGGGUCGUAAAGCUCUGUCGCAGGGGAAUAACACAAUGAAGGUACCCUGUAAGAAAGGAUCGGCUAACUUCGUGCCAGCCGCCGCCGUAACAC